rnacentral:rRNA from 1 species
AUUGAACGCUGGCGGCAGGCCUAACACAUGCAAGUCGAACGAGUGGCGGACGGGUGAGUAAUGUCUGGGAAACUGCCUGAUGGAGGGGGAUAACUACUGGAAACGGUAGCUAAUACCGCAUACUAUCAGAUGUUCCCAGAUGGGAUUAGCUAGUUGGUGGGGUAACGGCUCACCAAGGCGACGAUCCCUAGCUGGUCUGAGAGGAUGACCAGCGACACAGGAACGGAGAAAACGCCCAAGCGCGUCAGGAGGGGGGCAGAGGGGAAUAUGGGACAAUGGGCUAAAGACUGAUGCAGCCAGGCCGAAGGUAGGAAGAGGGCUUUCGAGUUGUAAAACUCUUUAGGGGUUAGGUGGAGAAGAAGCACCGGCUAACUACGUGCCAGCAGCCGCGGUAAUAC